AGAAAUGCAAAGAUAAGGAUUAGUACAGAUUCAUAUCGGAUUUCAGAGAGCCGCUGGCUGGUGUGAAGCGGCAGACGCAGAAUCUGGAACUGCCCUUGGAGCAGCUGCCCGAACUUUCGUAAGGAAACAGUAGAUGCAGACGGAACCCUGCCGUUAUCAGAAGGGAAAGAUAUAAGGUGUACAUAUCUGUAUCUUAUUAAGCGUAUGAAGUAUAUUCAUAAAGUAGAGUGGUACCGCGCAGGACAGUAGUCUUUCGUCUCUAUU
rnacentral:ncRNA from 1 species